CAGAACUGCCAGAAGACAUUUUGCUCCCCCUAGGUGAUAUCUCCUCCAUGCUGGAGUUGGAGGAGAAACUGAGGAGUCAAACCGAUAUGAAGAAGAGCUUGAUUUCUUAUCUUGGGAUGAUUGGGGGAACAAAUGUGAAGGCAACUGUCUGGAGAUUGCUCAGCAAGACCAUCAACAACACCCUGGCUCAACAAAUGAACUGGACUGGUGUAAAUGGAGAGAAAGAUUUUAAUAACCUAACAUUAAAUGAUGUUGUUUUUGGAGGAACAGCCUGACGUCCAAAGUAACGGAUGAGGAAAUUGAGGCGAUCGUAAAAAGAUGGUUCCAGCUAGCCGGAGACAGAGCAGGAGGACGGAGAGCAAGAGAAAAUAAAAAAACCAGAAGGCCCGAUCCCGAAGUGGACUGGUCGAUGGAUUUUGGGCCGUUGUCAGUGAAUUAAAAAAUAAAAUAAAAAAUAAAUUACGGCUUUAGUAGUCGUCAACGAGAUGUGCACGAAAUACACGUCAGUCAUAUACAUCCCCCCACUUGAAGAGAUCCCGCAAACCCCUAACGCCACCCCCCCUCCCCCUGUCAAUGAGUAUGUGUGGGCUGGCGUCCAUGAUAAAUGCCAGGGCUAAAUUUUGUUCCAAGUCCGUCAUUGCUAACAGCCCACU